CCGUAACUAUAACGGUCCUAAGGUAGCGAAAUUCCUUGUCGGGUAAGUUCCGACCUGCACGAAUGGCGUAAUGAUGGCCAGGCUGUCUCCACCCGAGACUCAGUGAAAUUGAACUCGCUGUGAAGAUGCAGUGUACCCGCGGCAAGACGGAAAGACCCCGUGAACCUUUACUAUAGCUUGACACUGAACAUUGAGCCUUGAUGUGUAGGAUAGGUGGGAGGCUUUGAAGUGUGGACGCCAGUCUGCAUGGAGCCGACCUUGAAAUACCACCCUUUAAUGUUUGAUGUUCUAACGUUGGCCCCUAAUCGGGGUUGCGGACAGUGUCUGGUGGGUAGUUUGACUGGGGCGGUCUCCUCCUAAAGAGUAACGGAGGAGCACGAAGGUUGGCUAAUCCUGGUCGGACAUCAGGAGGUUAGUGCAAUGGCAUAAGCCAGCUUGACUGCGAGCGUGACGGCGCGAGCAGGUGCGAAAGCAGGUCAUAGUGAUCCGGUGGUUCUGAAUGGAAGGGCCAUCGCUCAACGGAUAAAAGGUACUCCGGGGAUAACAGGCUGAUACCGCCCAAGAGUUCAUAUCGACGGCGGUGUUUGGCACCUCGAUGUCGGCUCAUCACAUCCUGGGGCUGAAGUAGGUCCCAAGGGUAUGGCUGUUCGCCAUUUAAAGUGGUACGCGAGCUGGGUUUAGAACGUCGUGAGACAGUUCGGUCCCUAUCUGCCGUGGGCGCUGGAGAACUGAGGGGGGCUGCUCCUAGU
rnacentral:rRNA from 1 species